UUUGAAUUGGAAGUGAGUUUCAAAUAAACAAGCUGACAAUUCCGGGAAUCGUUCAUCUUUUAGAACGGCCGUCAAGACACGUUAUUUGAUAUAAAUAAAAGGGAGAAACUCACCAGGAAAAAGUGAAAGGGAGUCUAAAGCCGGAUGGAAGUGAAGAAAAGAACCGCGGUCCAUCCAGCAGGGAAGAAGCGGCUGGCAGCUCCCCUCGGCCGGCGGGUCUUCAGCCUCCUGCGCGGGGGAGCAGAGCGCAUCGAGGCGGCUGCUGGAGAGAGAGAGAAAGCGGCGACACGGCAGGUCGUGAGGACCAUCCAGGCACCUCAUGGGACUACUGUGCCUGGAUGCCUUUGAAUGGAUGGCCUUGUGUCUGUGUGGAAGCCAAUAAAGCCAGAUACAGGACAGAAGGGCUAUUAUUGAUGCUCAGCCCAUUGAUAUAUCAAGAUGAGCUUCAGACACAUCAUGCAAGGCUUCCGUAAGACAAUGCCAAACCACGUGUUAUGUUCCUCGGCGUGCACCUCUGCUGACAGUGGGCCAAGAGGCACCUCUGCUGAAAGCGCACUCAGACACGUCCUCACUCGUGCUGAGUGCAGCACGCCCACGCAGCAACGAGCCUGCAGCCUAUCAAGAAUCAACACACCUGGAUUUGAUGAGAGGGAGCUGCAUAAAGACCAGCAGACCCGAAGGACCUCUGCCAGAACGUAGCCAAUCUUUCACAUGUCUUCCCUGUUGCCUGUGAUCGUGCCUUGCCUCACGACCCCCACCCGGAUCUCUGCUUGCCUCCCCCGACCCCCGACCCCAGCUUGGACUCGGACAUUGUUGCCUCUCUCCAACCCCAGACUGCUCGCUUCCCUUGCUGGCUACCUCUUCGUCUUGCCCGUUGGAUUCAACGAAAAUUCCACACAACACGCACCGACAACAACCCCUGGUAAGACUUACAUUGUUAAGUCUACACAACGUCCGCACUCAUUCACUUGUGGUAGCAUACACACCCCACACACUCAUCAAGGUUUUCAAAAAACCUGGUGAACCGCAGUUCUGCCUUGGUGUUGCCUCCUUCCCUCUGCCCGGUACAUACAGGUUUUGGAGUAACCUAUGUUGCCAUCCAAGCAAUGUUAUCAUGGACGCCCCAGCUUAUUUCAGCAAGACAAUGCCAAGCCACAUGUUACAACAGCGUGGCUUUAUAGUAAAAAAGUGCAGGUACUGGACUGGCCUGCCUGUAGUCCAGACCUGUCUCCCAUUGAAAAUGUGUGGUGCAUUAUGAAGCCUAAAAUAUCAAGCAAGAAUGGGAAAUAAUUCCACCUGAAAAGCUUCAAAAAUUGGUCUCCUCAGUUCCCAAAUGUUUACUCAGUGUUGUUAAAAGGAAAGGCCAUGUAACACAGUGGUAAAAAAUGCCCCAGUGCCAACUUUUUUGCAAUGUGUGGCUGCCAUUAAAUUCUAAGUUAAUGAUUAUUUGCAAAAAAAAUAAAAACAUUUUAAUUCAAACAUUAAA